ensembl:miRNA MIR6843 microRNA 6843
CCCCCAUUUCCUCAGGAAUAAAAGUGCAGCAGUGCCUGCUGUGGGGACAGCUGAGGGCAGUGAGGCCCUGGGGAGCUGCUGCAGGCAGCAGGUGGGCGGGACGCCAGCAGGCUGUCUAGCUGUUCCCAUGAUGGUCUCCUGUUCUCUGCAG